rnacentral:rRNA from 1 species
CGUAGGGUGCGAGCGUUAAUCGGAAUUACUGGGCGUAAAGCGUGCGCAGGCGGUUAUAUAAGACAGAUGUGAAAUCCCCGGGCUCAACCUGGGACCUGCAUUUGUGACUGUAUAGCUAGAGUACGGUAGAGGGGGAUGGAAUUCCGCGCGUAGCAGUGAAAUGCGUAGAUAUGCGGAGGAACACCGAUGGCGAAGGCAAUCCCCUGGACCUGUACUGACGCUCAUGCACGAAAGCGUGGGGAGCAAACAGGAUUAGAUACCCUGGUAGUCCACGCCCUAAACGAUGUCAACUGGUUGUUGGGUCUUCACUGACUCAGUAACGAAGCUAACGCGUGAAGUCGACCGCCUGGGGAGUACGGCCGCAAGGUUG